rnacentral:rRNA from 1 species
UGCCAGCAGCCGCGGUAACACGGAGGGGACUAGCGUUGUUCGGAAUUACUGGGUGUAAAGCGCGCGUAGGCGGACUAUUAAGUCAGGGGUGAAAUCCCGGGGCUCAACCCCGGAACUGCCUUUGAUACUGGUAGUCUUGAGUUCGAGAGAGGUGAGUGGAAUUCCGAGUGUAGAGGUGAAAUUCGUAGAUAUAUUGAGGAACACCAGUGGCGAAGGCGGCUCACUGGCUCGAUACUGACGCUGAGGUGCGAAAGCGUGGGGAGCAAACAGGAUUAGAUA